rnacentral:lncRNA from 1 species
CAGCUCUAUGUUCUCUUUACUGUCCACAGCUCUAUGUUCUACUGUCACAGCUCUCUGUUCUACUGUCCACAGCUCUCUUUUCUACUGUCCACAGCUCUCUGUUCUACUGUCCACAGCUCUCUGUUCUACUGUCCACAGCUCUAUGUUCUACUGUCCACAGCUCUAUGUUCUACUGUCUCACAGCUCUAUGUUCUACUGUCCACAGCUCUAUGUUCUACUGUCCACAGCUCUAUGUUCUACGUCGUUUACUGUCCACAGCUCUAUGUUCUACUGUCCACACGCUCAUGUUCUACUGUCCACAGUCCUAUGGUCUAUGCUGUCCACAGUUCUACUGUCCACAGCUCUAUGCUCUACGUCCACAGUUUACUGUCACCACAUGAUACGCUGGUCUCUCACUGUAAAUAUACAGGCUGUCUGUUUCAGCCUUA